rnacentral:rRNA from 1 species
UACGUAGGGUGCGAGCGUUGUCCGGGAAUUAUUGGGCGUAAAGAGCUUGUAGGCGGUUUGUCGCGUCUGCUGUGAAAUCCGGGGCUCAACCCGGACCUUGCAGUGGGUACGGGCUGACUAGAGUGCGGUAGGGGAGACUGGAAUUCCUGGUGUAGCGGUGGAAUGCGCAGAUAUCAGGAGGAACACCAAUAGCGAAGGCAGCUCGCUGGGACGUUACUGACACUGAGGCGCGAAAGCGUGGGGAGCGAACAGG